UUUCUAAAUGGUUAUACAAGUGUCCCCACUUGGAUAAUCAUGGCAUUUAUUCACAUGUUGAUACACUUUUGUCAAUUACCCGUAUAUAUAUAUGUUGAAUUACAUAUUAUUGUUGAGCAAGAUUAAAAACCUUCUGGUUUGGAACCAGGCAUGUAUGAACAUCCCUAUAUGGGAAGAUUUUUGCGCCCGAGGCGGACAGAAUAAAACGAUGAAUUUCGUUCAGAGUUAUGUAGUAUUGAUCAAUACAGGGUACAACGGGGCUGAUCACCCUCCGUGCCCGUAAGUUAUGACGAUUUAUGGAUGGAUUUCUGCUAAACCUUUUCGAAAAUGAAAAGAAUGUUCAUAGUAUGUUUCUUAAACCCUAUUCAUGGGUAGAGCCAGAGCCAAAUUUAAUAAAUUUGAAAGAGAGUUGUUAUGUGAAUUUUUUAUCAGUACAGAUUACUUCACAACUUUCAAUUCGUUGUAGAAGUGUUAUGGAAAGAGAAUACUUAUAUUCUUUCAGCUUAUAUAUAUAAUUGCUAUUACUUGUUGGGCACUCAAAUGCUCAUCCUUGCUUAAAUUAAAUGUUUUCAGUUAUGUAUGAGCAACCUGAAGGCUCAGGCACGAACAAGGGGAAAGAAAAG
rnacentral:lncRNA from 1 species